rnacentral:piRNA from 1 species
CCUCCGAGUAAUGUUUAAACUUGAUGCCAA